rnacentral:rRNA from 1 species
GGACCUUCGGGCCUCUCGCGUCAGGAUAUGCCCAGGUGGGAUUAGCUAGUUGGUGAGGUAAGGCUCACCAGGCGACGAUCCCUAGCUGGUCUGAGAGGAUGAUCAGCAAACUGGCUGAGACACGGCCAGACUCCUACGGGAGGCACCAUUGGGAAAUAUUGCACAAUGGGCCCAACCCUGAUGCACCCAUGCCGCGUGUAUGAAAAAGGCCUUCGGGUUUUAAGUACUUCCACCAUUGAGGAAGGAGGUUUCGUUAUACCGGUAUCUUUUAACAUUACCUCCAAAGAAGCACGGCUACUCCGUGCCAGCACCGGCAUUAAUAUGGGGGGUGACAACAAUCAACGGUUUUCCCGGGUGUAAGGCGCAUGCAGUGGGUUUGUUUAAAUCGCAUGGGAA